CCGAGGGGGUUUGGAGGCAGCAGCUGCGGCCGGAGCGGAGCAGGACUGGGGAGGGAGGGGCAGGGAAUUGAUUAGGGGGAAAGGUAACGAGCUGGAGCCGGCAGACCCAGGCUAGCUGCUCCCAGUGCACCAAGCCCCUCCGGAGCCCAGCGCCUCCCAGGGCAAAACCCGGCAGCUGGCUCGAGCCCUCAGCGUCUCCACUUAGGCAUUAGACUACGGGGAACAUUGGGCUGGACCCAGCAGGUGUCGGACCCAGCAGAUCCCGGGUCACCUGUUUGCUCUGCUUUUCUCCUUUUGAGUUUCGCCAGAGUCAGCCAAUGUCUGUCUGUCUGCUGGAGAAGCGCUUCUGCUCCGAGCCAGAGCCCGACAGCUUCCAGCUGGGAGCUUCCUAGAUUGCUCUGCUGGCGGAGUUUCAGCCUCCUGGGGUCUUCCCCAGUCUCCUGUUGCAGAAGUACUGGAUUCCAGUUGCUUCUGCUGGGGCCCAUUCAAAGUUGCAUACGUUUUGCAAGGGAUAAUUUUCCAGAUACGGUGUGGGACACUCGUUCCUCAGAUCUUGCAUCCUUGUUGAACCGUGGACACCUGAACAGGACACAGUAUUCCAGCAGCAGUCACACCAGUGCCAAAUACAGAGCCCCGUGUAGCUGUCUGGAAAUACGUUCUUUAAGUCCUAUCAGCGCACAGAAGAAAUGUAGUUUCUGUCAUUCAACUUCACAUGAAUUAGUCCUUUGAAAAGAAAAACUUCAGUGACGUGUUUUUGGCCUUGACAGAGGCUUUAAAAGACUUUUGGACCCAAGAGGAGUCGGGUGCAGCUGACUGUUAUUUUAUAUUUCCUUUCAACAUUCAAGGAUUAAUGGGACAAAUCUUCUAAGUGAAGCUGGUGGGAAUCCAUAAGAACUGCAUUGAUUUCAAUGGCAUUAUUCCAGAUUUAUACAGAUGUAAAUGUUGAUAUCAUUUCAGGUAUACUGUGCUCUUUCAGGUUAUUAUUAAUCUCUAGUCAUCUGCAAAACUGGUAAUCCAGAUGGAGCCCUUUUCUUUUUUGGUCCAUGUGCAGGAGAACACUAAGAUAAAACUCAGAUUGGCCAACUGUGAUUCCUCUUGGGAAUUAUACUUUAGAGGCAGUGUUGUUGUUGCAUUGUGUCAUAAUAAGGUGGUUGUAUCAUGAAGGGAGAAGGACCAGAACAUUUGUGGUUUUUAACAGGUACUUGAAAUCUAUCACCUGUUCUUCUCCAUCCAUCGACUGCCCUCUGAGGAGUUAGUUACUCCCUUGAUGUAUGGGAGGUAGCAACAUCAAUGAAAUGAUGCUAGAUUCUAAUAAAGGUUAAGGCCAU